AGAUUGAACGCUGGCGGCAGGCCUAACACAUGCAAGUCGAGCGGCAGCACGGGUACUUGUACCUGGUGGCGAGCGGCGGACGGGUGAGUAAUGCCUAGGAAUCUGCCUGGUAGUGGGGGAUAACGCUCGGAAACGGACGCUAAUACCGCAUACGUCCUACGGGAGAAAGCAGGGGACCUUCGGGCCUUGCGCUAUCAGAUGAGCCUAGGUCGGAUUAGCUAGUUGGUGAGGUAAUGGCUCACCAAGGCGACGAUCCGUAACUGGUCUGAGAGGAUGAUCAGUCACACUGGAACUGAGACACGGUCCAGACUCCGUACGGGAGCAGCAGGUGGGGAAUAGUUGGACAAGUGGGACGAAAGCCUGACUCCAGCCAUCGCCGCGUGUGGUAGAAGUAACGGUCUUACGGAGUUACGUAAAGCUAACGUUUUAAGGUGGGAAGGAAGGCUAAGUUACCUAAAGUUACGUAUUC
rnacentral:rRNA from 1 species